rnacentral:lncRNA from 1 species
UGCGCCACCGGCUCAGCCUCGCGGCGGGGGAAACCCGAGCUCCCAACAAAACGGUUCCAUCUUUGGCUAGGCCUUUGGCACCAAAGAAGGCCCAGAGAGGUUUAACAACUUCCUCAGAAUCACACAGCUUCCAAAUGGUUGGGUUGGGUUUACAUUUAGGCGGUCUUGCUCCAGAGCCAGUGCUCCUAACCUUUGCAAGCCACGAACCUCAAGAAAGUGGAGAAGGAAACGCUGGGAAAUCUGGAAGUCAGACAUGAGAGCUAAUGCUGGCAGCUGUUGGGAUGUCCUCUUCCAGGAAUGGUGAUGAGUUUCCCUGGAUCCAGCCCUGGCUUGGCUGAGGUUUUUCUCACUGUAAGAAGAGGACAAUAGCCUAUGAUCUACAGUGCCCAUUCCAACUCAGAGAAUCUUUACAUCUGGAGAUCUAUAGCAGGGCUAUCCCUAGUGACAUGCGUGAAGAAGCUUGGAAAUGGUGCUGGGUAGGAGCUGAGUGUGCAGAAUGUGGAAAGGCAUUCUAAACCAAAGGAAGAACACGAGUAAAGAUGAUGAAGCAGGGAUAAGGCUAAAAUGAAAUUUGUGAUCUGAUCCACAUACAAGCACAGUGUAGUACAGCUGGAAUAUAGAGAAGAGCUUGAAGACUUAUGAGCAACUAUCCCGGUACUCUUGGAGGCUCUGCAACCACAGUUUGAGAAACUCCGCGUUCAAAGUUAAAAACUGUCACCUGAAUAGUUAAUAACAUCAAAGAUUGUGAAAGCAAGUAUAAAUAACACAGAGAUUAAAAUAAUGAGGCAGGAUCAGAAAUUGCUGACCUCCAUAACAGCAGACAAAAUUGGAAGCAAGAGUGAUUUUGGAGGAGUCACACUUAGAUGUUUCCCUUACCUAUUUCUGUUCUGGAAAUUUAAAAAUCUUACUUCUCGUGACAGUCCUACAUGAAAAAUUAAAAAUCACAAGGAUUCAUGGAUGGAAAACUGAGACUCAGAGAAUGAUCACAUUCACAUCGUAAUAAAUCAGCAAUAGAGUGAGUGAUUGUUCCUUGGUAAGAAAUCAACUCUAAACUCAGUUGGAAACCUUUGCCAAUAUUACUUAACACAUGACAAUCUGGUG